CAGUCGCCGCGGUAAUACGAAGGGUGCAAGCGUUACUCGGAAUUACUGGGCGUAAAGCGUGUGUAGGUGGUUGUUUAAGUCUGUCGUGAAGGCCCUGGGCUCAACCUGGGAAUUGCGAUGGAUACUGGGCGACUAGAGUGCGGUAGAGGAUAGUGGAAUUUCCGGUGUAGCAGUGAAAUGCGUAGAGAUCGGAAGGAACAUCUGUGGCGAAGGCGACUAUCUGGGCCAACACUGACACUGAGACACGAAAGCGUGGGGAGCAAACAGGAUUAGAUACCCGCGUAGUCCCUGUCUCUUAUAA
rnacentral:rRNA from 1 species